CAGGAACGGGGGGAGCGGGACACGGAACGGGAGCCCGGCACGGGGGGAGCGGGGCCGGGAGCGGGACAGGAACGGGGCUCCCCGGCAUGCAGGGAGCAGGACCCCGAGCCCGGCCCGGGAGCCGCGGCAGCCUCGGGCCGGUCCCUCCGGGUCACAGUCACGGAAUCAUCUCUUCGCCUGCGGCUGGGCAGUGGGUUUGGGCCGGAGAUCGGGAAAGGCUCUUCCCCAGAGCUCAGGAGAUUCUGUUCUGUGGUCAAGGUUGGAAGAGACCUUUACGAUUAUCCAGUCCAGGCUUCCAGCACUGCCACCAUAACCCCCAAACCCCAAACCUGCAUCACCCAGUGCCAGAUCAGACACCUCUCAAACACUCCCAGGGAUGGGGACUCUACCUCCUCCCUGGGCAGCCCCUUCCAAAGCCUGACCACCUGAAAAGUGGAAAAAAAAUGUAGUAUCUAAUCUGAACCUCCCGUGUCUCAGCUUAAGGCCAUGUCCGUUUGUCCUCCCUCUGCAGCAUGGUGGAGGAGAUGAGCCCCACUUCACUGCACCCUCCUGGUUGGGGACUUGUGGGGAGCAAUGAGGUCCCACAGACUGAUGUAGUCUUUAUUUAUCCCAGUCACACACAGGAAUUCCAGGCACUGUCUCAUCAAGAGCCCUCAGCAGAACACAGUUGUUCCCCAAGCGAUGCAGGACAAGGCACAGAUGGAUGUAACAUCCAUUUCCACGUGUGUUUUCCGUGUGUGGAGAGCACACAGCUCCCCCAGGGUACUGCUGCUGUGCCAGCUCUGUGCCGAGCUUGGGGCAUCAAUAACUGGCAGAUAAAAAGAGUUAAUGUCUAAAUAACCACACAGACAUUUCUCUAAACCUUCCACUGGCUCUGUUGAGUUGAGGGAGGGAAUAGAAAUGUCCCCAGCACUGGCAAACUUAGUGAGAGGUUGAUGUAUGUGAACAUGGAGUUUAAUCCAAAACACAAAAAUACUUCAAAUACAGCAAAUGAAGAGUGAGGAGUGCAUGAGCCACACUCUGUUACUGGACAUGGCUUCAGUAACAAUAUCACAGAAAUCAGAAAAAUCAAACCAGUCAAAGGACUGAUAAUGAAUUGGAAUUGAGAGUGGUAAUGUCAGGAACACACAAAACUGAGAGUGGACAGGAAUUCUCAGUAAAUGGUUCUGCAUCCGACAAGCACUUCCAGCCAAGGUCUUGUUGCCAUGGGGAAGUUCUUGCUCUCUCCUAGACUCCAGCUGCACAUUGGCACCAGCAUUUUCCAGCCCAGUUUUUGGCCUUUACCGUUCUUACCAGUGCUGGUGAGAAAAGGAAUGCUGCUUGAUUCGCUGUUGGACAAAUGGAUGCCUUGGGCACGUGAGCCAUUGUCGCUGGCAAUCUGCUGCAGCAUCCAGGGUCCUUCUGCCAGCAUGAACCAAGCACAGUGCUUUUCAGCUGCAGAAGAUCCUACAGUGUUAGAGGCAAGGUUUGUGGCAAUGCAGAGUGGCCAGUGAGUGUGUUUGUGUCCUUGGAGGCUCAGCAAUGCAGGGUGCAUGGCUGUGAGCUGAACAGGCGCAGCCGUAAAGUGGCAGCGAUUUAUCGGGGUCUUGUAAUAACUCGUAAGUUAAUUUGGUCUUGUUUAUUUUUCUUCAUGUGAAAAAGUUUGGACUGUCAUGUAAUUGUGUGUAACUGAAAGCCAUUAUUUCCUGAAGUGUGACUCAGCUCUCUCUCCCUGUUCCAUUCACAGCAGCCCUGUUUCAUGUCUCGUUGGAGGCACUACACGUGGUGUAGGAGGGCUGCUGUUAAGUCUGUCCUCAGUUGGGAAGGCUGAUGAAUUCAUUAUGUACUCCUGUUAUGUCAGUUUGUUAACUGUAUUGUGCCACUGUCAAUAAAAUUCAUAGUCAAGGUC